rnacentral:lncRNA from 1 species
GUAAUCAUCAAAAUCAAUCUAGGAGCAACAGGAUCGGCUAGGAAUGCGACAACCGUUGAUGCAUCAUGAUAUCACAAGUCAAGCAACAAAAUAGAUUUAAAUAAUUAAAGUUCAAAUUUUAGACUAAAAAACCAAAAAUCCAACAACAUCCAAAGUCUUACAUCAACUUUUAAAAAACUCUAAAAUCUAAUCUAUAUGACAAAGAAGUCAAAACUCUGCUUCUAAUCAGUCUCCAUAGCAAUACCCCAUGCCAAAUUAGUUCUCUGAAUCUAUAAAGUAGUAGAAUAUUGAAUAAUAUGCUAGACAGCCUAGUAAGAAAUGAACACUUUAAUUAGAAAAAUUAGGUAAUAAGAUGAAUACCAUUUUUGCUGAAAAUAAAUAUAUGGAAUACAUCAAUUCAAAAAACAAAAUCUAGAUAUGCAGCAUUAUUUGUUAGAAUUCAAGUUUGCAUUCAUAAAUCCAAUUAUUGCAAGAUAUCAAGUUCAUCCUAUCAGCCAUGAACUGUGGUAGUGUCCUUUUUAGAACACCUAUUUCUUCUUGUGGUGUCGUCCUUUAGGAUUAAUCAUAUCCCAAUGUUGAACCCUCGUUAAUAGGGUCAUUUCCAAUGUUUAACCUAAGGUUUGCCAUCUCGAUAUCGGACCCCAUAAUGGUAUCAUCCUAUUAUAGUGUCGACACACAGUUCGGUAUGAUACAAUAAUAUCGAUAUGGUUACGGUAUGCUUGGUAUUGGGUGGUAUGGCAAACCUUGGUUUGACCCUUAUUGGUGGGGUCCUUGCAUCAGUAUGCCAUCCCAUUUCUAGUGUAAAUCCUUCAGGGCUUGACAAGUGCUAAUGUUCAAUCCCCAUUGGUGAUUCCUUAACAUAAUCAAGCUUCUAGUCCAAAACCAUCUCCAGUUAAAACUCUUUUUCACAAACAUAUGCUUCAUGUUCCAACCCAAGAAAUACACAAUACCACAUCGUAUCAGAGUCAAUCGAGCAUAAUCCAUAAUGAAAUCAUGACUUAUAGUACUUACAUGAUCAUGA